rnacentral:rRNA from 1 species
GACGAACCGUGCGAACGUUAUUCGGAAUCACUGGGCUUAAAAGCGCGUGUAGGCGGGACGGCACGUCGGUCGCUGAAAGCCCCCCGGCUCAACCGGGGGAAGUGGCGCCGAUACGACCGCCCUGGAGGGACGUAGGGGGGACCUGGAACUUCCGGUGGAGCGGUGAAAUGCGUUGAGAUCGGAAGGAACGCCCGUGGCGAAAGCGAGGUCCUGGACGUUUACUGACGCUGAGACGCGAAAGCCAGGGGAGCGAACGGG